UACGAAGGGGGCUAGCGUUGUUCGGAAUCACUGGGCGUAAAGGGCGCGUAGGCGGCCGAUCAAGUCGGGGGUGAAAGCCUGUGGCUCAACCACAGAAUUGCCUUCGAUACUGUUUGGCUAGAGACCGGAAGAGGUAAGUGGAACUGCGAGUGUAGAGGUGAAAUGCGCAGAUAUCAGGAAGAACACCGAUGGCGAAGGCAGUUCUCUGGGACGGUACUGACGCUGAGACGCGAAAGCGUGGGGAGCGAACAGG
rnacentral:rRNA from 1 species